GAACAUUAACACUGCACUUAAAAUUGGAGAAAAAAAAAGACAGAAGGCACGUCAAUCAUUCAAUUAAAAUUACAUGUAAAAGUUAAAUACAACUGGAGGGUAUCAAGAAAAUAAUCCUACUACAAUUAAACUAUACUAACUAGAUAACUCAGUAGUUACCUUGAAUUUUGCUGAUGCUGGACCUGUUGAACAUACAUGUGUGCUGGACUGUCUGUCAGGAAAAAAAAUGCCUGGUUGUUACAGAGAUGAGCGGAGACAACAUCAAGUUGUUUGUGGGCAACCUUCCUCUAGAUGCAACCCAAGAUGAGAUUAACAAACUUUUUGCUCCCUACGGGGAGAUCAACACCUGUUCCUUGCUCAGACAGUAUGCUUUCGUUACCCUGAAGGGAGAUGGUGCCGCAGACAGGGCCAUACGGCAUUUGGACGGCAAGGAGUACCGAGGGAGACCACUUGUGGUGGAGGAAUCACGUGCCCGUCCCCCCAACUCCACCAAAGUUUUUGUGGGGAACCUGAGCGCAACGUGCUCUGCAGAUGACCUACACAGUCUCUUCUCAACAUUUGGAAGAGUUUUAGAUUGUGAUAAAGUCAAAGCUCGGUUAUGUUCAAAUGUGGGUUAUGCAUUUGUACAUAUGGAAAGGAAAGAGGAGGCUAUGGCAGCCAUCGACUCGCUCAAUGGGACCAUUUUCAAGGGCCGUCAGCUGGCUGUAGAGCUCUCCAAAGCUCAACCUUUGGUCAACCAGCUCAUGUCUUCGGGGAAUUCAGUCGGUGGAAGAGAGGGUCUGCUUCCUAGACCAGCUGGCUCAAUGGAGCAUCACCAGAGUCACGCUGCUGUGCUUGCAGCAGCCGCGGCCGCUGCUGCCGGACUGCCAAUACAAGUUCAACAAAGCGUCCACAACUCCUUCUACAACACCACAUCAUUUGAUCCCACCUAUGCUGCCCUGAAAGGCAUUACAAGUUCAAAAGGCGCCGAUGGGGUCAUAUACGGCGCGCUUGCCAGCCAGGUGUACGGAUCUGUCGCCGACCAGGUGUACCAGGAUAUUGCCAAUCACAGCGUCCCACCCUCCGCCUCUGAGGAAUAUGAGGUUCAGAGCGCGCCAGAUCCAACAACACUUUUUGAGGCUGCAAGAGCCAAGUUCUUUCAGGAGGGACAGAAGGUUCUGGCUGAGCAGCAGGCGGGGAGAAAAACAACAGGAGCAACAAAUACAACUACCACAACAUCAUCCACGGCAACGUCAGAAACUGAGCGUGACCGCAGCCCGAUCAGAGGGACCCGGACACCCUUGCUUCCGGACCCAUCUCCAGGUUCCUUCACUCAAAAUCGCACCAAACGCCGUGCUCUCCUUCCAACGCCGCCCGGGGUACCUGAAGACCCCACCACUGCAGCUACUGAGGCAUCUGAUCCUGUUGCCAGGUCCUACACAGAAUAUUACCAACAGAUGCAUCAGUAUCAACAGUACCAGCAACAGUACCAGCAGCAGUACCAGUACCUCCAGUAUGCUUACACCAACCCUCCUCCACCCCCUCCUCCACCGGCUAGCACAGAUUCCUCCAGUUCGGUCCCACCGCCCCCUGGGACAUACACAGCACCUCCAGCCUACUCUGGCACCCAAGACUACGGACCCCCGGGCACCUACGACCCCCCCGCAAGUUACAAUGUGUCGUCGCAGAGCUACUCCGGCAACUACGACACCUCGGCCGCCUAUGACUCAUCGGGAGGCUACGGGGCUGCGGGAGCGUAUGAUACAUCGGGAUCUUACGCAGCAGCAGGAACCUACUCCACAUCCACACCGUAUGAGCAGACACCCGCACACGGGCAAUCCAUGCCCCAGCGCAAUGAUUACCCUUAUAACACGCCAGAGCCCCCUUACCGAUAGUCCCACCUCCUACACACACGCACACACACACACACACACAUCCCUCCAAUUUGUAGAUGUGUGUGUACAUGAGUACUUGGUUAAGGGGCAGUUGAAAGGGAGAGCAAAGGGAGGCAGCAACGUUGUAAUUUGAAUGAAGCAUUUUGGCUCACCAUGUCUUCAACUGGCUGGAAUUCAUUUCACAUGACAGUGAGUACUAUCACAGGUAAAAUAAAAUACAAUCAGGAAAUUGUUGAACAGGCACUGUUGGUUUGGUGAGGAUUGAAGUUUAUUUUUCUUCUUCCUUGACAUUUAAUCAGUUUUUUACUUGGCAGUUAUUUAAUCUUGUGGUUGGAAACAGACGCAGAUUCAGUCUGUUUGAGUCCAUAUUGACUGGAAACCAGCCAUUUUCUAUGUAAAUUGGUUAAACAUAACUUUGAAAAGACACUCAACCUAAUGAAUUUUUUGUAGGGGGUGGAUACCCUAAGGCGUGCCCAUAUGGUCUUUUACCGGCAAACAUAUAAUUGGGAUCAUUUGAGCAGCAUUUACUGAUAAUAAUCCACCCGUUAACAGCUCUAAGAUGCCUUGAUUUGACAAAAUUCAAGGAGGAGGACAUUAUGAUAAUUAAAAUUGUUGUCGUGCAGAGUUACUCUAGAAUUGUGACGUGAACCAAAGUUAGUGUGGCUGAGUCGGGUUUGAAAUGGUUGCGUUCUGCCUGGUUAUCGCUAGCUAGGUCAACCCAUGCAAAAGUUUUCUUUCCAUUGUUGCUGUUGCAUAAUGCCACCAUCAGAUGUCGAAAGUUCUGUGUUUUUUCUCAAGUUAAUAUUUAACCACAAUUUGGAUAUAUUCUCAGGCAGUAGACACGUUGUUUUUUUAAAGACAAUUCUUAAAAUCGGUAAUGUCGUUUGGUUUGUUGUGUUCCAGCAAUCUAAUGUCUCAGCUACUUUUCAUACCCGACAUGGUUUUUGUUUGAGACUCGUGUAAAUACUUGGUCUUGUUUUUUUUUUUUUUUUUUUUAACAUUCACACUUGAGAAAUAUUUGAGAUUGGAGGGGGAUGUUGAGUUGAAGAGUUUGUUUGGAAGCAGAUGAAUAUUUACAGGUGGCAAAUGGUGUUGGUUUGCAGAUUAAAUUAGAGCAGGGUUUCCCCAAAGUUUACAAUUGGAAAACUGGUUUGUUUGGGGUGCUUGGUUGUAGAACAAUGGUGAAGAAAUCUUUUCCCUUCAAAUGUUUUCCCUUCAAAUCUGAGAAGAAUCACGCAAGAAUCGCCGUACUUUUUGGGCCCCUUUUCCCUCUGGGAAUGCACACCAACACUGGGGUGUGUUUUCAUAUUUGGCAUCAUUACUUUUCACACACAAGUCAUCACAAUCCACGUAUUCCGCUUCAGUCGUCGGUCACUACUCAAGCUAUAGCCUCACAUGCCACAAUAUUCCAGCUUCUCCAUGUAAACUUGAUAGUUGCAUGCCAUGUUGUUGCUGCUGCUCCAGCCACCUUCUUCCUCUUGCUGAUUAUUGCAGCUAGAGUGGGAGGGAGCCAAACUCUGAGCCCUUGCCCUGGACGUACGCCAUGCGCUGCUGUAGCGCGGGAUGGGGGAAAACAGCAGCGUUAGGCCCCCCCGAAAACCGCUGUGGACGAUGGGGGGUGGCCCCCCACCCGCUAAGGAAACUGCUGAGCAGAGGAAAGGAAUGAGGGCAUCAACCUGAUAAGGACAAUGAUCCAACGCACACUGGCAAGUCCACCUCCGAAUGGCUGAAGAAAAACUAAAUGAAGACUUUGUAGUGGCCUAGUCAAAAUCCUGACCUGAAUCCCAUUGCGAUGCUGUGGCAUGAUUGAAAAAAAAACAGUUUAUGCUGAAAAAUUCUCCAAUGCGACGGAAUUAAAAGAACUGCAAAGACAAGUGGGCCUAAGGUCCGCCACUCUGCAGUAAUACACUCAUUGUAAGUUAUCACAAAAACUUGAUUACAGUUGUUGCUGCUUAGGGUGACCCAUCCAGUUAUGAGGUCCAGGGGGAAAUCACUUUUUCAUACUUUCGUAUACGUUUGGAUUUUGUUCCUCACUUAACAAUCAAAACUACAUUUUGUAUUUUACUUGUGUUGCCUUUGACUCGUAUUUAAAUGCGUCUGAUGAUAGAAAACAUUUAAGUAUGACAAACAUGGGGAAAAGAAAAGGAAGGUUGCCAAACAGUUUUUCACGUCACUGUAUAUCUUUUAUGACACCACUCCUGGAACUUAAACCUCUCUUAUUUAGGGAGGACCCCGGUCAACAGGCUUUAGACAUGUCGCCCUGACCUUUAGAUGUCCUUUGCAUAAAUGUUAACACUACACUAACAAGGUUCUUGCUGUGUUGAAAAGCCUUCGCUAUUCCUCAGUGUUAGAAAGGACGUCAUUACGAAAUAUUGUGGGCCUUUGACUUUCGCAUGGGAGACUGUUUCGCUCGCUCUCAGUGUAGUUUGUCUGUGUAAAAAGAACAUUAUUCCAUAUAAUCCCGAUGGGGACAUGACGUGUAUGACACCAGAACACACGGAAAAGACACUGGUUUUUGCAUGAUAUUGCACGGCCACAGAGGAGGAAAUGAAAAGCGAAUAGUGAAAUCACAAUUUUGCAAUUCCUCCGUGUGGCUCAGAUUGUUUUUUGUUUGUAGUUCCAGUGCAGUUCGCGAUACGGUCCUGACGUCAGGUACCAAAAGAAAAACAGACACACGAGCAUUGCCCAACCACCCCAACCCGAGUUAGUCUAAUGUGAAGUUGGCAAAGGAGAACCAAUUCGGCUACAAAACAACGAUGCAGAACACCACAAGUAAAAACGCUUUACAAAGAUUUGACCAUAUCCGACAUCAGUUGAUGGUUUAACCAAUCGAUAAAAAUCUCCUGCACAGGACACACACACACACACACACAUAGGCACGCACACUCUUGGCAAAGUUCACAUGGAGUAAAGUGCCAGCAACCGAUUCAGUGUCUUUAACACCAAGGACAGGGAGGGCUGAAUUGGAGAUCUAACUGGGGGAGAAAAUUGGGCCGGGAGCUGGCGAUGGAGCAGCUUUCGCGUUCGUAGCGUCAUCACAGUUCGUUUUCGGCGAAACAAACGGUGUGUAGCGUGAGUGGAAUAUCGGUGCUGAGCUUCUGCGGCCUCUGGGCGUUACUAUUUUUUGGGGACUGGUUGGCAUACGGAUGGCAAGCGAGUAUGUUUGGGGAAGGCCGAGCGUUGGUUAUUUCUCCUCCCUCUGUGUCCCAUCUUUACUUCCUCUCUCAUCCUUCUGUUGUCUUUACUCUUCCUCUGUGGCACACUCAGCUCCGCUGCCAUGGUUACGGCAUCAUCUCUACAUGAAGUGCAUCUGCAGACAAACGACAGAGAGAUGGAGAGUGAGCUGGUUUAUUUUAACACCUCCUUUAAUAUUCAGUUGUUUAUUGUCAGCUGUUGUUGUUUUUUGUUUCCAAUAUUUGGAUAUUGCAACCUCUUUAUCUUAUUUACUGAUGUUGCUGUUUUAUUGCUGUUGAUUUGUAAGUACAUUGACCAAAUUAGCCCAAAAUUUCGUGAAGAGAAAGAGUCGCUGGAAAUUUUUUGCAAAUCCUGAAACUAUCCAGUUUGUAAUUUCUCUUUUUGCUGUUCCCAGUGAGAGAGAACCCAUCUUCCCGCUCCAGAAUGCAAUUGUAGCAUCCAAUCUGAAAGGAUCCAAGGGACAUGGUUGGGAGUCCUCAAACAUGACCGGCUGGUUGUACAUGACGGGCUGCUGGGGCAUCAUGGGAACACCCCCGAUCUGAUGGCUCAUCUGAGGGGGGAGCUGCUCAGAGAGCGGACAAGGGUGAGCUGGAGAAGAGGUCCGUAGCUCCGCCACUGCUGCUGACACUGCCCACCGACUGGGUGCUGGGCGACACGUUGGGCGUCUGGAUAUCGAUCACCUUAUGACCGUGAUCCUGCAUUUUUGAGUCGAUUGUUCUCCAUCUUGUCGUCCAUACGGCUGAGGGAGAUCCCAGUGCUGGAGAGGGACGACACUGUGCUGGACAGAGUGCUGGACCUCAUGUUGACACACACACACACACACACACACAAGAUUCGGUUGACCGGCAUGCACCGAGCAGCACCAUCAUGCAGAGUCCACAACAAUCACACCCUGAUUCAUGCAGACUGCCAGCACCAAGGUCCUAAUCAACACAAGCAUCGCACAAAUCACAGUCCAGAACGUCAAGAGUUACCCCUUGGAUUCCACUGACAAAUCAAAUUAACCCAACACGGAGUUUCUUAUGGUGUUUUUGUUGGGAAACCACAACAAUUUGACAGCACCGGAAACCAAGGAAGUUAACUCUGAAAUGAAAACGUGUGGUGAAAAAACAGGUAUGCACAUUGAGCAACUGGCCAGCACAAGAACAAGGAUGGCUGUUUUGUUUGGACUACAUGUGAUACCUGUGUUCUUUUCAUCCAGGCUUAUUUUUGCAUUUCAUCACCACUGAACACACACACACACACUGCACACACACACACACAAAUACACACAACAACAGGCAAAGAAAAGGUGUCUUGUAUACUUAUUUUUAAAGGGGAAGGUGAAAAAGACAGUAAUGUAAAUUCUGGAUGUCCUUCUCCACAGAAUAGACCAUAGAAGUAUCAAAGUAAAAACAGACACAAACAGUAUCUAGUGCUCUGUAGAGGCGUGUCGUUGAAUAGGCGCGUAUAAGGUCUUCAUAAGCACUGCAAACACGGAAAUGUGCUUCAACACUCAAGAAACAAGCGAAUUGAUCGCAUCCCAAUUUGUCGAAACGGUAAAUAAGUCUACAGAGGCUUUGGCAGUGAUAUGUAGUGCUGAUGACGACAUUAUGUGCGCCUGUCCAAGGCAUAUUUGCAGAAACCUACGUCAUUAAACCAUUCGCUGCUCUCCCCACAGCUAAUGCAAAGGGACCUGUUUCUCUAUUGGACUGACUUGUGCUGUUUGUUUGUGUGUUCUCUCAAUAAAGCAUAUUAUCUUUGAUCCUGACAUAUCAUAAACCCCGCUGAUCAAGAAAUACACCAUAUGGCCACAAGUACUGCAAUGGCACACAUACGGUACACACUCACUGUAAAACAAAUUUGCAAGUCAGAUAAUGACUGCAAUUGCAGGGUUUUUUUUUUUCGAAAAUGUUUAAAGCUCUAUCAUUGAAAAUCACUUAUAAUAAAGAUAUACCAGUACGUUCUUCUGACAAUGUUUUGCUGGAGCCGCUUGCGCCAUUAUUAGGAUUACGUCUCAGUUGAUUGAUCGGGAAACGUCACAUGCUUGGGCUCCCUGAUAGUAAGGCAUCCAUUUUGAAUCAAGAAAUGACGCUUUUUUUUUUUUUUUUAAAUUCAAGCAACAAAAUUGUAUUUCAUUUCAUCCUGUUAAAACAAUUCAUAACGGACUGUCGACAAUACGGCAAGACUCAAUUUCUUUCCUUUUUAACAUUCACCGAUAUCAAUUAAUACAACUGUAGUUAGAGCUCCCGUCUCAUGCAAAUGAGCCACUGCUCACCCCGCCCCUCUAUUGCAGGUCUUUUACCAACCAAGCACGCCUAUUCCAACUAUUCCAGAGGGUGAUGAUAAAAGCCAAGUCCCGAGACAGCAAAAGCAUGCAUUGUAUUUUCAUUUUCGGCAGCUGCACUUCAUUACCGGGUCACCACAUUACACUUGUUAAUUACUAUGUAAAUCCAUGUAUGUGGUGCAUGCAACAUUGCUCUUCCAUUAUGUUACUUUUGUUUCCCCUGUAUGACCCUGUGCUUCAAUACUUUUGUCCAUAUGGUGUAUCUGGAAGGCUACCAAAAAAUACUAAUCAAAUGUAAGCUUCAAAAAUGUUGCUUCUGACUAAAAAAAAGUGAAUGUAAUUUGACAUGAUUUUCCCCUUUUUGUGUAAAUUGUGUUGUGCCUUUGUUGUGUUUCCUCUUCUCUCUAGAAGUGAGUCGAAACAUAAAGAGGGAGAAAAAAGGAGACGUGGAAGGAGAAGUGAAGAAGAGAGGGCCAGCUGCAGUCUGGGCAGGUCUGUAGGUAUGAAAUGUUUCAAGGAUUACCUAUAUAAGGACGAGAAAGACUGACAACGGGGCUUCUUCUUACAACUUCACCGCUGCUCUGGGAAACUCCGCUGCUUGGAACACGGAGCUACACGGACACCUGCCGCCUUUCGUUUUUGGACCAGCUGGAACUUUCACUAACUUGGAAUACUCGGUGGGACGAACGUUUACUUGUUUGGGAACACUCGUUCAACAUUGGUGACUAUUCGCUGUUGUGGCUCAACUACUCUGUUCUUGAACACCCAUUUUGUGUGAGCUAUUUUAUCGUGUUUGUGUCGUGGUGAUGUGUGUGAGAUUAAAUUGUCAGAAACGCAAUACAA